rnacentral:rRNA from 1 species
GUAGGUGGCAAGCGUUGUCCGGAAUCAUUGGGCGUAAAGCGCGCGCAGGCGGUUCUUUAAGUCUGAUGUGAAAGCCCACGGCUCAACCGUGGAGGGUCAUUGGAAACUGGAGAACUUGAGUACAGAAGAGGAAAGCGGAAUUCCACGUGUAGCGGUGAAAUACGUAGAGAUGUGGAGGAACACCAGUGGCGAAGGCGGCUUUCUGGUCUGUAACUGACGCUGAGGCGCGAAAGCGUGGGGAGCAAACAGGAUUAGAUACCCUGGUAGUCCACGCCGUAAACGAUGAGUGCUAAGUGUUAGGGGGGUUUCCGCCCCCCUUAGUGCUGCAGCUAACGCACUAAGCACUCCGCCUGGGAGUACGGCCGCAAGGCUG